rnacentral:lncRNA from 1 species
AAUCCGCUCUUAGAGUUCGAGAAUCCAAGCGCUGGCAAGUCAGCUAGCGAACCAAGGGGCAAAGAAAGGGUCAAAAGUAAGUUCCGUGCCUAUAGUCAUUCCUCUCUCUGGUAGCAAUCCGGUCUCCAGUCGAUGGUACUAUUUAAACGAGAAUGCCGUGUCGUCCAGCGCACUUGACCACUGCGAUCGAUCCGAUAAACCAAAGCAGCCUG